UAGGGAAUCUUCGGCAAUGGACGAAAGUCUGACCGAGCAACGCCGCGUGAGUGAAGAAGGUUUUCGGAUCGUAAAACUCUGUUGUUAGAGAAGAACAAGGACGUUAGUAACUGAACGUCCCCUGACGGUAUCUAACCAGAAAGCUACGGCUAACUACGUGCCAGCAGCCGCGGUAAUACGUAGGUGGCAAGCGUUGUCCGGAUAUAUUGGGCGUAAAGCGAGCGCAGGCGGUUUCUUAAGUCUGAUGUGAAAGCCCCCGGCUCAACCGGGGAGGGUCAUUGGAAACGGGGAGACUUGAGUGCAGAAGAGGAGAGUGGAAUUCCAUGUGUAGCGGUGAAAUGCGUAGAUAUAUGGAGGAACACCAGUGGCGAAGGCGGCUCUCUGGUCUGUAACUGACGCUGAGGCUCGAAAGCGUGGGGAGCAAACAGG
rnacentral:rRNA from 1 species